rnacentral:lncRNA from 1 species
UAGUUUUGAAAAAGUACUGUUUCAAAACUCCUGAGUGCUGCAGAAAAGGACUUAAUAUACUGUGGAAACUGUGUUUCCACAACCUGUAGAAGCAUACAUCUGCACGUAGACUGGCAAUAAAAGUUUGAAAAAAUAUAUUUGCUUCGUGGUAGACUGCGUUCCAGUGAAGGUCCACCACAGCCAUAAAUUAAUGAUGGAGUACCUUCAAGCCGAACAGGAAAUAAUGUAAUACAGUCUUAGGUGACAAUAGUUUGCCUUACUGUAAUGUUACACAGAUAGCACAGCAACUUUUGUGGCAAUGUACGUGCUGCCCAAGGAAGAGAAAACCUCAUGAAAACAGAUGUAAAAAGAAGGCCUUCAGAAAACUAACUCUAUCAGAAGGUCAGCUCAGUUAACUUCCUUUUGAACCUGGUAUACAGAUUGUGAAAAUAGGAUUAUAGUCUGAACAGUCUUAUUCACACAGAUGUGUAUGACCUCUUGCACUCUGAGCAUUCAUGCAGCAAGCAGGUGGGAACGUAUUUGUCCUGUACUCCGAGACCUGGAGGCAGCAAGGGUAAUGCUGAGUCAGACACAUAAGUCCUGAAACGAGUAUAUGUUAACUCAGAUCUGACAUUCUGCAAAUCAUUAAGCAAAGCUCAUUAUUUUGGAUGCUUAGUGUGAUGAUCACUUGUAAUUCUAGCACCAACAAACUCCUGACGGGCCAAACGUCUGUGAAGGAACAAAGAGGAAAGUGAUCUUGUCAGAGUAGUUCCAUUUUACUAUCAUCACUUUCUCUUUUAAUGUACAUUAAUAUGCUAUGCUACUUUGUUUUGUUCAACUCAGAGAAUUCAACAGUGAUACUUAUUCUCAAAUCUCUGUCACCUGAUUUCUUGCAGGCUUUAGCCUUCUGAAAAAAUGGUUGUGUGUCACAAUAUUUAUUCAGUUGUUCAAGAGUUUUACUCACUAGGACAAGGUUCUUGAGUUGGGAUUGUCCUGCUCACACAGUCCUGGCAGUUUGGUAAGCUGCCGCUUCUAAAUUGGUAUUUUAUUGAACCUGGCUGAUGGGUGAACUUCUUCCCCACCUGUUCAUGGUAUAAAUAGAUCUUCCAGAACUAUAGUGACCAAGACUCCUUGCAACUUGCUUUAUUAUGUCAUCGUAUGAGAUAGGGAUCCCCUGCUGGCGUAUGCUGUCAAAAUUUGUCAAGUGUGCAUAACUCAAUGUGUAAUUAAACAUGAUCAGGUACAUUGCAUUCUGUUUUUUUCUGAACAUUCGCAAUUUAACCCCUGUCAGAGUUUGGCAGACACAUGACUGAAAAUGUUUUAGAUGAUGCUGAAGUUGGAGCAGGCACAGAAAGUCUUCCUUAGCUGGCGUGUUGCUGAGAAAGGUCUGAGUACUGAAAUGUCAGUGAAUUCAUUCUCUUAUUUGCUUUUCUACUAUGGGAGAUAAGUAGCUAGCACAUUAUUUUAAAAUAAGUACGUUAAUAGUAUUUUAUACUUUGUUGUGCAUGUGGUGUUCCGUGUUUGAAAUUAAAGCCAGAGAAUAAUAGAAAAAUUGACUUGUUUUGUAGAUGCAGCAUCUUUUCAUGAGCUAGAAUGAUUACAUCCACUUCCAAGAAGUGUAAGAACAGAGAGGGCUGAUCUUGGCAGACAGCGUUCAUAUGAUUUCUAUCUCAGUGCCUAUUUCAAAAACAGCCUUUGGUCGGGAGCAUACCACAGCCCAGCUUUUCAAAUGUGCUGAGUUGUUUUGCAUUGCCUUGUUUUGUUAGUUGGAGGCGUUUUGUAAGGUUUUGUAUUUCCUAGUGUUUUGUAGAACAGAUUCUUUCGAAGGAACUCAGGUGAAAAAUUGAGGUAUCUGAAAUCAUUAGUUGCUUUUGAACAAUCUUUCUUUCCUUGUUAUUUGAUCAAAUGCUUCUCAGCAAUUCCUGAUUAGAGCUUCUGAGGGAAAUUAAGGUCCAGAAUAUGAAGAUCAACAAGAAUGCUCAGCUGAUGGUCUCAGUUUUAAUGGAUAAUUUUACUGUAUUUAAAUAUGGCACACAAAUGAAAAUACCUUGGCCAGCUUAAUCAAAUAGAUGAUUUUUGAGAGAGCCUGGCUCCUGUCUGGCUCAGCACCAUCUUUUUGAGAAGAUACAGGGAUGUGCUGCCAAAAUAGUAAAUUCUGCUCCUGGUCCAACGAUGCAUAUAGAAGAGGCUGUUUAUGCAGGAUCAGAUAUGCAUUUGCCCACGGAAUAAAUAAAUGCUAAGAAAUACAUCAGCCCUGUUAGCUGACUUACCCUCAACUGGUUGUGGAAUAACUGGAGAAUGAGUGUGCCUAGAGCAUUGGUCUGCAGGUGAGAGGCACGAUGAGCACUGUUUUGCCCCACUUCAUUAGUAUACCUAUUGGCAGUAUCUACUCCCUUUAGUCUGGGCAUUCCAUAGGAAGCACUGGUACAAUGUAGAGACUUGCAGACUGAGAUGAAGUGGAAAGAAAAUCAAUCCCUGCUAGAAAAUCACUAGGCGGUAAUUCAUCCAGGAGUCAGGCUAAAGUUCCUGUCUGCUUUUCAUGAUUUGCUGCUUCUGCUUCUCCUCUCCUACAUUAUCACUGCAAAGAGGUCUCCUUUUAACUGUGUAAACUUUCAAGGUCUACAGAGAAGUUUUAUUAGGAAAACUUUCUUUUUUCUUUGUCAAGUCCAAGAGGGACAGAAAAUAUUACUUAUAUUACUUAUAUUACACCUUUUGAAUAUUUCACUAAAAAUUUGGAUGAGAAAGAGUUUCACAAUUCUGACUAUUGAAAAUAAUCAUGAAGACCAUUGAGAGGAGUGAUUAGCAAAGCAAGGGAGGUGAUUGUCCCUCUUUUCCUCUGUGCUUAUGAGUCCCCAUCUGGAGGAUUGCAUCCAGGCCUGGGGCCCCCAGCACAGAAGGGUUGUGGAGCUGUUGGGCUGGGUCCAGAGGAGAGAUACAGAGACGAUCAAUGGGCCGGAUCACCUCUUGUACAAAGAAAGGUUACAGGAGCUGGGGUUGUUUAGCUUGGAGAAGAGACUUCAUUGUGGCCUUCCAGUACUUGAAGGGAGCUUAUAAGCAAGAGAGGUACUGACUUUUUACAUGGUUUGAUAGUGAUAGGACAAGGUGUGAUGACUUUAAACUGAAAGAGGGGAGAUUUAGGUUAGAUGUAAGGAAGAAAUCUUUACUUAGAGGGCGGUGAGGCACUGGUGUAGGCUGCUCACAGAUUUUGUGGGUGUCCCAUCCCUGGAGGUGUUUAAGGAUGGGGCACCUGAUCUGGUGGGUGGCAACCCUACUUACAGCAGAGGGCUGGAACUAGAUGAUCUUUCCAGUCCCUUCCAACCUAAGCCAUUCUAUGGCUCUAUGAUUCUGUGAGAGCUGUCUUAAUACUUGAAUUUCAAUCUCUGCUAUCAAGUUCCUGCUUUAACAAUUAGCAGGCUUUUGAGUAUUUAGGAUAAAAGUUUUUCUUCCUCCCCUCUCUUCCAUUUCUUUACUUCUGUAUUAAGACAAGCUGAAUGUAUGUAAUCUAACUCUAAACUCAGCUUUCUGGCUGAGAUAUUAACAGUAGAUGAAGAAAACAGAUAGAUCUGUUGUUUGUGUUUCUGUGUUGUGGUUUUUGUUUCUUUUUUUCCCUUGAUGUAUUUUCUUCCACAGCCUUGAGCAAGAGAUUCCUAACUGAGAAAGACUGGGUUCAUUAAGUUAAUGAAGGAGCUAACUGGAGGAUGCUUAGCAAUACAGGGAGAAGAAAGUGCAUCUAUCUUGUAUUAUUAAGAUUUAUCAUGUGAUCAGAAGGCAGUUGUAUACAUUUGUGUGAUUGUUUACAUGUCUCAAGUGAGUAAUUACAGGGAUAGGGAAAACAAAAAGCUAUCUUAAAUGUGGGGAAUGUGUUCUUGUGAUACAGCACAGCACGGCCAAGGCUAAAUUACAGACAUAAUGGCUUAAAUAGUAUAGUCUUAUUAGUCACAUUCACCAAAUGCGAAAACGACACUGUUGUUCCCCAAAUACCUUUGGAGACAAAUUAUGGACAGUAUUGGCAUUUCCAUAAGAAAUGGACAGUAAAAAGUGUUUUGUUUUUCCUUUGGUAAGUAAUUAAAGAUGGACAAACCAUCAGUAGCACUUGAUUUCAUGGCUCUCGGAUGUAUGAUGUGAAUGUUCAUUGUGAAUCAGUACUUUGAAAAAGAUGCCUAGUGAAUACUUCUGUGUUUGGUUGGUGGGUUUGUUUACUACAUUCGCCUACAAAGCACUACACAGAUUUAAACUAUUAAUUUUGACUAUCAGGAAAUGUUUGAAUAAAACUCAACUUCUUUAAAUGGUUAAGAAGAAAGCUUAAAAAAAAAAAAAGGAAGUCAGUAAGCUUCUAAUGGGAAGAAUUUUUAUUGAGUAGUGACUUCUCUGUUAAUCAAAGAUUACUGAUACCUACCAUUCUCACUGUAAAACUAUCAAUGGCUACAGUCUUUGCAGUUUAAAGGUACAAGAGAAUGUAGACUCAAUGCAGAAAAGAGGUGAUGAAUACAACUGAAGAACUUAAGGGACCAUCUGGGCUUUUUAUUGACUGCAAAACUGGAAAUACUAAUAUUUUUUGGUACUUCAUUCCAUAAAAGACACAAAACUAUGCAUGUAAGUAAUAGAAAUGUAGCAGAAGAGAAACCUCUUUAUCUAGCUCAUCACCUUUCAGUGACAUAAGCUUAAUAGCAGAUGUUCAUCCUUUAUUCUCUAAGCAUUUUCUAAAUACUUCCCUGCCCAUUCUGAUGAUGAACACAGAACGCCUCUGAAUUAGAUAUUUGUUUAUUAUUUAUCACUGGAGUAUUUUUACCAACCUUGAUGUUAGAGAGCUGUUGUCAUGUUACCUGUGGGAUUUCUCUUUUCUAGACUAACCCUCAUGAAUUCCUGCAGCUUUGCCUUUUAGGUCAUAUUUUUAAAACCUGUUACUACAGGUUUUCUUUUUUAUGUUCUCUUAAGAACUCUGUGAUUGCUUUUGUCUGCUUUAAGCAGACUGGCCAAGCUGCAGUCAGUGUUCUGGCUGAGCUCUCACCGGGAACACACAAAGCAAACCAAUUUGCUUCAUUUCAGAUUCACAAUAUUCCUGCUAGUACAGUCCUUAAUAAUUUUCCUGCAUUGUUGGCUCUUACUUAGGUUUAGUCUUGACAGCCAGAUUCUGUCCUGACGUAUACUGAUUGAUUGUUUCCCUUUGAAUUAUGCUCUUUAUUUCCCCUCCUUAUGGACACAUUUAUAAGGCAUAAAUGUCUUAGGGACAUUUCUCCUCCUUAUGCCUGGUCUUCAGUGCAUGCAUCUUCAAAUUAGUUCCUCUCGUCCAAAAUGCAUAAUAAAUCUCUCAAUAUGAUGCUUUGAUUGCAUUAUUUAUUUCAUUAGUCAAAUAAUUUACAGAGAUUAUGAUUAAAACAGUUAAAAAAAAAAGAAAAAGGAAAUAAAGAACAAUUUCAGGUCAGACCUCUGGAAGACAUCACUUAAAGUCUCUUAGUCUGAUAACAAGAAAUAGUUAACUUAGGAAAUUUUGAUUGCAAUUCUGCAAGUCCUUUCAGUUCACUGUACUUUUACAGUACCAAAUGCCUCACAAAGGCCAAAGUUCGUCAUGUCUGUUGCUUAAACCAGUUAAGUCAGCUAGAAGGGUUGCUGUAGUCAGGUAUUUUUGAUAAAACCAGGCAUCGUGAAGAGUAUGAUGUUACUAUAGCUAUUUUAAGAAUACUUAGCAACCCAUCAGGUUUUGAAUAAGACUAAGUGGCCUGUGAUUCUCAGGUAUUCCUUUUACUGCUUAAAGUUGGUACUGUUUUCUCCUUCUUCAUUUGCAAACCAAGUGAAACUCUUCUCUAAAGAUCACUGUAACUAAAGAUAAAGUUUUCAACUUCAGCUAUAAGUGCAUACACCUGUGUUUCUGGGGGAGUUCCUUCCAGCUGUAGUUUUAUUCACCAUGCAGGCCCACUGAAUUUCUCAUCUAGCUGUGACUAGUUAGGUAUGCAUGCAUUCAGUCUCUUGCAGAAGCAUUUGUAUGAAAGAACUGAUUUCAGAAAAAAAUCAGCAGAGGGUCCAAAAAGUGUUAUAAAUUUAUCAAAAGAUCUGCCAUGGUUCCAAAAUCUCUUUUUGAAACAUAUUUCUAAAGAACUCUUACUGGAGAUGGAAAUUUAGUUAUACCCUGACAAAUGGGUAGUUUACUUGCUAAGGUUCCAUAAAUAAGGUUUCUGUAAAUAGAUGUAAGUGAAUAUGCAAGGUAUGGAAUGUAGAAUAUUUCCUUACCUGCUACAACCUAAAAUUACUCAGGAAAUGAACAAAAGCUUCCUCAAAACAAACAAACAAAGAAACCAAACAAAACCCAUGAGCUAUGACUACCAGCUACCAAGUGAUCCUUUCCAAGAUGAGAGAGUACAGAAUAUUUUGGAAGCCCUUACUGCAUGAAAGCCACAGUAGCAGCCUGGAUUAUAUAAUUUGGUCAUUGUCACUGAAUUUGUGCAAGCACGUAAAGUGGCAGCAAAGUCAGAAUCACAGAAGAAAAUGCUUAGGUCAACUCAAAGACCAAUUGAAAACGGGAUAUCUAAUGCAUGCUAAAAUUAUGGGUAAUGCCAGGUCAUAUUAUUACUUUAGAAUAGUGGGAAAGUAUGCACUUAAUGAGCUCUACUAAGAGCUGUGUGGCUUGAUUAUUGCAGGUGAAAUAGUUCAGCUGCUAACAAAUGGUGCAGACCUUUUUCAAAGGUCUUUUCCCUGGCCUUCCCUCCGCUCCUGCCUUCCUCAAGGUGUUUCUGAGCACUGCCUUACUUCUAGUGAGAAUCCUCAUGGCAGGCUGAUGCUGGUACAAGGUUAGACAGAAGACUCUAAGGUCAGGAUUGAUUUUGAAAUAAGUAAUUUCAAUGACUAUUAAGGUAAUCAAUACACAGCUUGGAGCAAGACAUCUAAAAGUAGCCAAUACUCUCUUCCACAUCAAGAAUUCAUCUGGAAUCUUACAAGACUGUUUUGCAGAUUCUCAUAAUGAGAAGUCAGACCUUCAGUGCAAGUUGCCUCAUUCCUCUAGAGUAAGUUGAUUUGUAUCAGUGUACACCAGCAGAAGAUUUAUACCAUGGUGCCAUGGAAAUGCUAAGUCGUAGCCUGAAGCAGUGAUUGCACACCUGGUGGGAAGGCAGGGCCAACCCAGGGGAGCUCAGGUGAACACAAUGCAGCUGAUUAGAAGGGCUGGAGCGGGGAUCCACCCUUUCCCAGACCUCAUGUAAGGGUGGCAGUGGAGGGGGAGCCUCUCUUGUUGGAGAUUCCUGCCUAUCUGAAGAUGUUACAGGCCUUCCAAAGAUAUUUGAGGAAAAAAUUGUCGUACAUACAGUGACAUCUGCUUUUACCAUCCGCUUGAGAAACGAAAACGUAACAGAAGGGAAGAAACAUCUUCCUACAGGAAAUUGUCAAACUAAGCGAACCUGAACUGGAUGACCUUUUAUGAUCGUUGUAGUUUGUUGAGAAGGUGACCUCCUCUUGUCCUAGCCAGCUAAGUCUGUUAGGGAAGAAAUAAAGUAUAUGCUCACAGCUAAUGCAGAAUCAAUAUCAGAUGCAGAAAGGACAAGACAAUGGAAUUAAAACAUUCAAAAUUCUUUUCAGCACUUCCAGAUGCCGAUAGCAGAGACGUACUGACAUGAAAACCUCAACAAAAAAGUUGUAUCUACCCCAUCUACCUCUGUGAUGACAGAAUCACAGAAUGGCUUGUGUUGGAAGGAACCUCAAGGAUCAUGAAGCUCCAACCCCCUCGCCACAAGCAGGGCCACCAACCUCUGCAUUUAAUCCCAGACCAGACCACAUUUAAUGCCCAGGGCCCCAUCCAACCUGACGUUGAACAUCUCCAGGAAUGAGGCAUCCACAACCUCUUUGUGCAGCUGUUCCAGCACCUCACCACUCUCAUAGUAAAGAAAUUACAGAUUAUGAAGUAGUGGUUCCUGUGUGUAUCUGCUGUGCUGACCUCACCUAUAAAUGACUCUGCAGUGGAAAAGAUUCUUCUGUUCCCAAAAAUAUAAAUUACUCUUUAGACUAGGUUUUGCAUUCAAGCUAAUACAAUGGUGUUACUCAUAAGAGUGAAAUUAUUUGUGUUCAUACACGUUCCUAGAAUUAAUAUGUAACAUCUCAAAUCAGAUCUAACAGGAUGAAAAUGCGGAAUUUUGGGGGUCCAAUUUUGAGUAUGUAUCAAUCACAAAUUAUGAUUCUGGAAAAAAAAGUAGUUGUAACUAUGAGGUUAAUUAUAGUAACUAUGAGGUAGAUUACAUGCAGUCAUCAAAUAACAGUUUUGUUACGCAAUGAGUAUCUGUCUUUGCAGUUAUAACACUGCAUCAUUUCUUAAAGUUAGUAUUAUCUUGUAACUUCACGUUGUGUUUUAAUUGCCUACUUGAAUUUGCUGUGCUUUAGUAGUGAAGACUUGCUGAUUAGUAUAUUAAUUGUUUUUAAGUGUUAAUGUAAUGCUUGGGACUUAUUUAACUUGGAUAAAUUGUGGGAUCUUUUUUUCUCUUUUCCUUGUUUUCUUUAAGAUCUCAGCACAUAUAUCGGUCGAAUCUCCCUAUGAACUCAAAUACCUGCUCUUAGAUAAUGGCUAUUAGACUUACGCUGUAAAGCUAAUCGCAGCAGGUGCCAUCACAGGACAGUGGGACAGUAGUGAACAUCCUUCCUAGUCAGUGGUCUCUGAUGUCAGACCCAGACUUUAUCCUUCUUCUACUGUGCUUUUUCAGGUGAUGUUUAAAGCCUGAUUUGGCUGAUUAGUGCCAAUGUAGUUGAUUAAAGUUGCUUAUUGUUUUAGUCUGUCAGCAGUGUGAAUGUCAUGCAUCUGCUUAGGUAGGAGUAGUGGUGAAUUGAAAGGUAAGAGCUAUGUCUGAUUUCCAAUAUGAGCUGUUUUAGCCAACCCCCAUCUGAUGGGAAGCCUGUACCACUACAGGACUCAAGCUGUGCCUUUGUACUGAUCUGCUGCUCCUCAAUUCAAGAAAUACUGCCUCAAAAUAAAGCUGUUUGUCUUAUGUCAAGAGAUGAUUUCAUAUGCUCUCAGUGGUAGCUUAAGGAGAACUUUAAUCACUGCUCUAUACUAGGUUUUCAUGUGUUUUGCUUUGAUUGCUUUUAUAUACAUACAUUAGUGAAAUGGGGCAGGAACAGAGGAAGUUUUUGUUACAUUCUGACGGUCUUUGACAGGUCCUGGAUGUAUUGGGACUGUCUCCUCAACCAAGGCAGAACCCGAGUUACACAAAGGAAAGCUGUAUUGGACAAUUGGUCUUCCAGCUGAAGAAGCCAUGCAGAAGCACAUGAUAUCAUGAACAUUAUUAUUAUUUCCCAGAAACUACUGAAAAAAGCAGUUAGUUUUGUCACAGACAUAAAUGUUCUGCUUGGUGUCAGUGCAACCUCCAUUGUUUGCAAAGGUGGUUACCUUGUGUGUGCAGAAGUCCUGCCCGCUACCAUUAGCCAUACCGUUAGCUGUUACAGGAGGCUCUGCUGGUCAGUCAUGGUGACCCAGUCUGGCCAUUUCUGAUAUUUAAUGUAAUUCUCAAGUUGUUGUAAAACUCCAUAAGAAAAAGCCAUGCUAUAAUGAACAGACGGAAAUAAAGCUUCCCUUGUCUAAUAGUGUUAAAAUAUAUAUAUGUAUCUGAAGAAGUAAGGAAAGUGUUUGUCAUCAGAAGUUUUUCAUAAGACUUUUCAUGAUCAUUGCAUUCAGUGUUCAUUUAUCAUUUAGAGAAAAAAAAAUUCAGUAAUUAUUUUCAACCAAUAUAGGAAGAGAUUGAGAGCAAAUAUUAAGAUCAUUUGAGAGGACAAUUGAGGAUUUUAUUAUUAUUAUUUAGUAUUUCUCACAGUGCCUCUUAUUGCUAUCAUGUCUGGUCUUCUUUUUCUACGCUUAAAUAUUCAACACCUCUGUUGUUUUGGCAUCAACAACUGACUCUGUCAGUGUACAUAAGAAGCCUCUGAUCUCUUAUGCUACCUAUGCAGAUUCUGAAUCCUGAGCCAAAACUUGGUCAAGUCAGAGGGGGGGUGUUCAUACAGAGUCCUAGAAAAAUCGUUAUGGGGAACAUCUAGUAUAUCUCAAAUCGUGUAGAGGAAUCUGCUGAAACAAAGCAUGCUGGUACCUAGCUUAACUUGUACUUGUUAAUUAUUAGUGAUUAAUUUUUAAUAGCUAUAUUUUAUAGCUUGUGGUUGGUUAUGCCCCAAGGUAAUGACUUCUUGUGUCUCAUAUUCUGUUAUUUGAAGGACAUCAUUCAAUAUAGCAUCUACACAGCUUUGUUAAAAGCAUUUAGAUCUAAAUUUUCUGCAGCAAAGACACAUUUAUUAAAUAGUCCAUAUGUUUAUUACUGUUCACAAUGAUCAAAUCCUGGGAAAACAUUGCAGAAAGAAAAUAUCUAGCUUCCUACCUUAAUUCCCAUUAUUCUAUUGAUUAGAAAAGUGAAGAUUACAUGUAUUAUCAACUGUAUUAUCAGAUAAUCCAUAAUCAGAUGCCAUUUUAAUGACAGGCAUGUGCUUUUUGUGGUGUUCCCUGGUAAAGCAGUAUGAAGAAUUUAAUGACUUCAUUAAAAGAUACUGCAUAACAAAGAAAGGAAAGCCCAAUGCUAUUUAAUAUUAUCUUUACAAUGUAUUACAUUGUUGAAUUGGAUUUUUUGUUUUGCUUACUUGGUUUUUGCUGUUGUUUUGCAAUUUUAUGUUCUGUAAGUUGAACAAUAAAUGUGUGAUAAGCAAAGGAAAUGUUGAGAUUUUUGCAGAUAUGGGCAAGCAGUGUUAUGACAGGUAUGUUCUGUGUCCUUAAAGAAACAGCAAGAAUGGUUUGUACCUUAAGAUGAUGAAUCUAUAGCGGACUUUCAAAUUCUUUUAAAAAGCAAAAUAAUAAGGAAGGUUUCACUGUUGCAGAUUGUGCCUGGAAUGUUGGGGCUGGGAGAUGCCACAAAGGAUAUUUUCCUUUUUUUUUUUUUUUUUCCAUUAUUUUAUUUGUUUGUGUGGUAUUUCGGUAUUUUUUUAUUGCCUGUCCAAGCUGACUGUACUAGUACCGCUGUGUUCUCAGAAGUGGAUCUGGAUGAUUCUUUACUUUUUUACUGGAGGUCGGAUUUACUUUUUUUUAGGAAGUCAGAUCCUGUCAUGAAGAUAGACUGGAAGUCAGGACUUUCCUUCUUGUGUCACAGACCUUGUGUGGGCCUAGCCUGGACAGGGUGUUUGAUUCUCACUGCUGCAGUAUUCCGUGUGAAAUUUGAAGUUUUGAUUUAUUCUUUCAAUUUGUUUAAGAAUACAUGUAUUCAUCAUGUAUGAGAUACAGAGAUGUAAUACUAAUGGAUACCUGGAUACAGUCCAUUGGAACGGUGAGUUUUGUAUCUCAAUUAUUGCAAAGCCUAAAAAUAGUUAAUAUUUGAGAGCAAAAAACAAAAUCGAGAAAACUCUUUGUCUUAAAUCUGCCUAUUCAUGAUUUGUCUAAAAGCACAUUAGUUUUGGGAAACAAAACUGAGAUUGUCUGCUGUUUUAGAACUUAAAAAUCAGUGAAAAUCAGCUGUUAUCAUCUUGACUUGGAACUGAAUUUGCUUUGUAACCUAAAAAGGCUGUAAUUUUGUAAAUAGGUAAUAGUUGUGGUAUUGUUUGUAUCAUUAAUACUGUAUUGCAUGUGUUACGAGUGUUGAUGCUGCUAGAUCUCUCAGUGGCUCAGGUUAGUGAAAGCUAUUUAAAGAAGUCUCUGAUGCAGAGAUGCCAUUACAUUUGAUAUCUUACAUUGUGAUUUACAGGUUUUUAAGGCUUUGUUUGAUGUUGAUUUUGGUUUUUUUUUUUUCAGAGCUCCUCUCCAGUGGUUCUCUGUUUGUUGAUCUGGCAAAGUCAUUUAAAUGAAAGUUCACAGUGCCAGAAUAUGGCUUAGCAAUUCACUGAAGCCACUAGAAUUGGGUUUUAUUUAUUUUAUUGUUUUAUUGCUGUCCUGCUCUGCUUGAAAUUCACCCAUUUAUGUUUAAGUAUGACAACAUAAAGCAAGUAGUAACAACUGUUUCUUUUUUUUUCAUUGAUCUGCGACAAAUUCUUCAGCUUA